UGUCUUUUGUUUUUGUGCUUCUGUAAUCUGGACCUGUACAUACCUGCCUGCCUGUAAACCUUCACUUUUGGCAUUCUGGACGGACCCUUACUGCCUAUUCUCUCUGCACUUUGAUCCAAAUCUGCAUUUUCUAAGUCAAGACGGGUUCCAGUUUUGUUAAAACUGCAUCAGCCUUUCCCGCGGCUGCAAUGAUGGUGCGGAGAUGUCAAUAUGGGGAAGACCUGGAAGUGCUGACCAAUCACAGCAGACUGGGCUUCUUGGGUGAUGAAGAUGGCGCGUCUCUCACAGAGGGCCCCUCUCAUUGCUGCUCUCUGCCUGUCCACCAGAUGCCCUCUGACUUCAUCUCCUCACUCACCUGACUUUCACAUCCAGCCACUCCCUCCUGCCCUGUAGUAACCCUCCCUCAGCCAUUCACCUCACCUGACCCUCCCCGCCCACAUGCUCACCUCUCUCUACUUCCUCUCAUCAGCACAAACCCCUGCCCCCCUUUUCCCAGUCAGCUGCCAGUUUGUUGCUGUUUCUUUGUUGGUGUUUCUUCCCUUGGCUUUCAAGCCUCCUGUGCAUGAACCAUGAACCCAGAAACCCUGAAACCGUGGUACCAGAACCUGACCAGAAUCUGUAUGUGCCUGCACGCACCUUUAUCCAGGCCCACUUCCUGGUUGUCUGGAGUUCUGUGUGGACUUUUCAACCAUGCCACCAGAAGUGACCAUGAGAGGGUGGAGCUGUGGAGGAGCGAGGACACCCAUGUGGAAGCAACUUCACAAG